rnacentral:rRNA from 1 species
UACGAAGGGAGCUAGCGUUGUUCGGAAUCACUGGGCGUAAAGCGCACGUAGGCGGAUGUGUCAGUCAGGGGUGAAAUCCCGGAGCUCAACUUCGGAACUGCCUUUGAUACAGCACGUCUUGAGUCCGGAAGAGGUGGGUGGAAUUCCGAGUGUAGAGGUGAAAUUCGUAGAUAUUCGGAGGAACACCAGUGGCGAAGGCGGCUCACUGGUCCGGUACUGACGCUGAGGUGCGAAAGCGUGGGGAGCAAACAGG